AUAAGGUACAAGGAGCCAAUUGAUUGCUCAAGUGUAAACACUGUGCUCCUCAUUUAAAGUCUAAUAAUUUCCCCAAUCAAAAAGCUCUCCUGUCUAUAAAUUAUCCCACCAUCUCUCACUGAAGAAAACAGAUCCUUUCAAAAAAAUCGCUGCAGACUCCAAACCCAGCUGAAAAUUUAUGCUGAAAUCCAACACAAUCUGGAUCACAUCUUGUGAUGAGAGAUUAAAUUCCUUUCUCUGGAUGGGAAAACUCCCCGCAUCAAAGGAAGGUGGUACAGGGGAAAGAAAACUAAAGAGACAAGUUGUCCAGCACACAGUAUGAAGAAGGAAAAGCAGUUUCUAUAAUCUUUUUCAAGACAGAUUUCUCUCUCAAGACAGCAGAUGGUCACUUCCCUCUGGUGCUGAUACUGCUUUUAACUAAUUUUUUUCAGCUGUGCUCACACAUAUAUUAAAAAGACACAAAAUACAGACAAGUUGCUCAAAGAUCAGAGAUGCUGCCAUGCUGCAUCUGAACUUGGAUAAGUGGUUAUCAGCUUCACUCCAGCCAG